AACAAAUCAAAAAGAAAAAGCUAUCAUUUUUCUCUUCUCCUUCACCGAAAUAUGCAGCAAAGAAAGGGUUUUGAAGCUUGAAAAUUUCAGCAACAUAUUUCCCUUGCUUAGUUUCCAGGUUAGCUUGGGUUGGAGGCCGUCAGAGAUAUUAUCACACUGUCAAGCUAACGCUAUUGGUGUAGUGAUUUCAAGUACUUUGAGCCUAUGGCAUGUAUUGGAGUUUAAAUAUUAGAGUAUGUGAUAUGGCUUUAACCAUAUGUGUUGGCCUAUUUUGAUUAUGGGGUUGUAAAUCUAUUUUGAUUAUGCAUGCUUUGUGAUGGACAUGAGGUUUGAUGACAUGUUGAUAGCUAUAGCAUUAAUAUGGUAAAGAUGAAAGAAAAACUUAUUGUAAUGGUUGCAUGUGAAAUUACAAUGGUCAUGUCAAGUUAGGAA